CAGCUUGUCUCAUCAGUUUUGCAAAGCCCGCCUUUGCUCGCGUCUUCUAAGAUUUCCAAGCAAUUAUCGUUGUUUCACAAAUAAUUAGGCUCCAGCGGCACCGGGAGGGACAAACGGUAGAAAAUGGACGGAUGGAUAGUUCCUGCUCCAACGUUAAAGAGAUGCUUUGACCUGAGGAAGAUGGCUACCUACCAGUUGCAGACAAUGAGGUGAACUCCUUUGAAGUCACAUGACAGUCCCUCCCAGCCACAACACUUCCUCGUUCUCCACCAAUCACCUUUCAGACACGGCUUGGACUGUGGGUGUUUGUGCUUCCUCGAUGCAAGGAUGAUGUGGGACGAAUCAGCCAUGAAUGCGAAGAAGGACCGCCUUCUCCUCUCCAGCCAAUGGGCUCGCUCUUUUGCUCAGUCCGACCAAUCGGAUUCCUUCCUUCCUCCGACACACCUUCCACUUGUAAACCGGCGUUGGGCUUGGCUCCUUAGUUCCACUGAAAGGAACUUUGAAUGCUCCAGGAUACCAAAACAUUUUGGACAAUUCCAUGGGAUGGCACUUCAAGUUCAUAUGUGAGUGAAUCGCAAGAAACCUGAUUGCCCUCUCAACAGAGGGUGCUUACAAACAUCAGUCGUUUACCAAGCAAAGGUAACACGCAAUGACAUUAACACAUCCGACACGUACGUAGGAUUAACCAAAGGAGCGUUUAAAACCAGAUGGAAUAAUCACAAGGCCUCCUUUAGAAACCAGACUUUGCGGAAUUCAACAGAACUCAGCAAACACAUUUGGAACCUCAAAGACAAUAAUGUUGAAUAUUCAAUAACAUGGCAAAUUCUUGCAUCCAGCACACCUUACAACAGUGGUAAUAAAAGAUGCAACCUAUGCUUAAAAGAGAAACUGUUUAUUAUAUAUCAUCCAGAUCUAUCAUCCCUCAACAAGCGCAGUGAAAUCAUUUCAACAUGCCGCCACAAACAGAAACACCUCCUAGGUAACACAUGAGCCAAUCACCACACCCCUACGCCUGCUUGUACCCUCCCACUCUGUGCCCUAUAUAAACCUUUGUAUGUGAAUGCUUCCAUUAAAAUCUCCUGAUGAUUGAGGGAACCCCUCAUGAAACAGUUCUGUAGAGAUGAAGUAGUCUUGUGAU